rnacentral:tRNA from 1 species
GCCCGGGUAGCUCAGUAGGUAGAGCACCCGACUGUUAAUCGGGCGGUCGGUGGUUCAAGUCCACCCUCGGGCG